CCCUUAGAUGUUCUGGGCCGCACGCGCGCUACACUGAUGCAUUCAACGAGUUUUGUUUGUUCCUUGGCCGAGAGGCCUGGGCAAUCUUUUGAACUUGCAUCGUGAUAGGGAUAGAUUAUUGCAAUUAUUAAUCUUCAACGAGGAAUGCCUAGUAAACGCAAGUCACCAGCUUGCAUUGAUUACGUCCCUGCCCUUUGUACACACCGCCCGUCGCCCCUACCGAUUGAAUGAUCCGAUGAAUAUCAUGGAUUGAGGAUGCAAGUAGGUUCGCCUAUCUUCAUCUUCGAGAAGUGAAGUAAAUCUUAUCAUUUAGAGGAAGGAGAAGUCGUAACA
rnacentral:rRNA from 1 species